rnacentral:rRNA from 1 species
AGGACCGGGACGGACGUACCUCUGGUGUGCCAGUUGUUCCGCCAGGAGCAUUGCUGGUUGGCUACGUACGGGAGGGAUAACCGCUGAAAGCAUCUAAGCGGGAAGCCUGUUUUAAGAUGAGGUUUCAUUUGAGGUUCCCAGAAGACGACUGGGUUGAUAGGCCGGAACUGGAAGCACAGCAAUGUGUGGAGGCGACCGGUACUAAUACACCGAACAAACCAACCAC